rnacentral:pre_miRNA from 1 species
GGGGAGCGCCAGAUCUUGGGAUGUGUCUCAUGUGCUCUGUGCUCCCUGGCCUGUGCUGUUGGAAUCACGCUCCCAUUCAUGCAGCUCUCU